rnacentral:rRNA from 1 species
CGCUNGCGGCAUGCUUUCACAUGCAAGUCGAACGGUAACAGGGAGCUUGCUCCGCUGACGAGUGGCGAACGGGUGAGUAAUGCAUCGGAACGUACCCAGUCGUGGGGGAUAACGUAGCGAAAGUUACGCUAAUACCGCAUACGUCCUGAGGGAGAAAGCGGGGGACCGUAAGGCCUCGCGCGAUUGGAGCGGCCGAUGUCGGAUUAGCUAGUUGGUGGGGUAAAGGCCUACCAAGGCGACGAUCCGUAGCGGGUCUGAGAGGAUGAUCCGCCACACUGGGACUGAGACACGGCCCAGACUCCUACGGGAGGCAGCAGUGGGGAAUUUUGGACAAUGGGGGCAACCCUGAUCCAGCCAUGCCGCGUGAGUGAAGAAGGCCUUCGGGUUGUAAAGCUCUUUCAGACGGAAAGAAAACGCAUCGGUGAUUACCCGGUGUGGAUGACGGUCCGUAAGAAGAAGCACCGGCUAACUACGUGC